rnacentral:lncRNA from 1 species
UUUAAUUUAAUCUACUAGCCACUCUACCACACAUCUAGAUUUAUCAACAUAUAAUAUGUUUUAGCUAAUUUUUACAUACUGUAAGCAUUUACAGUACGACAGCGUUAACAAUUAUAAUCAAACAUUAAGCAAGCUCAAUUAAAUUUUAUUGAAGUUAUAAAAGAAACAAAAGAAAAUCUUAAAGAAAUAUAAAAGAAUAUUAAAGAAAACUUAGUCCAAUCCUAACAAAAAUCUAAUAAAACCUUAAAUUCUAACCAACCCCUAAUCCUAAUCCAACCUUAAUCAAAUUCUAGACAAAUCCUAAAUCAUAAACUAAAUCCUAAUUAAACCUUAAUCAAAUUCUAAAUCUUAAAUCAAUCCCUAAUCAAAUCCUAAAUCAAAUCCUAAAUCCUAAUUCAAACCCUAAUCCAAACCCUAAUCCAAACCCUAAAUCCUAAAUCAAAUCCUAAACCAAAUCUUAAAUCCUAAAUCUUAAAUCCAAUUCUAAACCCUAAAUCCAAUCCUAAACCAUAUCCUAACCCUAACAAAUCCUAAACCCUAAACCAAAUCCUAACCAAACCGUAACCCUAAACCUUAAUCAAAUCCUAAUCCAAACCAAACCCUAAUCAUAGAUUUGAAAAUUAAAUAACUAAAGAUUGAACCGUUGAUUCUAAUUCAAAAUUUUUACACUUCUUGGAGUUUAAGUUAGAAACCAGCACAUAAAUUUUGAAGAAAACCACACUUACCAAUUAGUCGAUGACCUCAAAAUUCCGCUCGGAUGUCGACUGGUCUCUCCUUCUCCAAUCUUGAUGCCAACUUCUAGCGCUUAUAUCUCCCUUUUCCACCAUUCAAUUGUUUUUAAAUUUUACUUGCAUAUAAGAAAUCCAAUCUUCUACUGAUAAAACCAAAAAUCUCUCCAAUCCAACUAGCAGAUUGCUAGAUAUCUAAGAAAACCUUACUGGUCUUCAAAAUCCUAAAUCUCGAGACCUUAGUCUACAAAAACCUUCAUAUAUAUAUAUCAAUCUAGCCAUUCGAUUGACCUCAAAUCUCUUACACACAUUCAAAACAAGCAUAAAAAUAAGUCUCUAAAAUUUCACUUAUAAAAAUGCUACAAAAGACAUGAAAACCAAAAAUUUGUAAACCGGGUUUAUUUCUCAAAGAUCUGAAUUCACAGAGAAUAUCACUCACUUUAAAAAUCCCUCAAAAAUCCAAUACUAAUCCAAACGAUACGAAAUUACCUCUCGAAAAUCCCUCCACAAGUCUUCUCUCUAAUUCGGCUCUCUGAUCUUUCCAAAGAAUCCUUGAGUCAUCAUCAAAGCAUAGUUUUGUGCCUCAGGGUUUGAUUUCAACCUAGGUUCAUAACCGGUCCUCUUCGGAUAUCAACUUUCGUCUUCUUGAGGUAAUUUUUACUAAUUUGCACUCCUAACUCCUCCCUACAUAUGUUUAUAUGUUUUAUUUUUCUAAUCUUCCUUAUUUUGUCUUAUUUAUGGCCUUACAAAGUAAAUAGAAGCAUAAUUUGUAAAAAAGCAACAUUAGCACCUUUAGUUUUUCUACCCUUUGACUAAUAUCUAUUUUUCCAAGAUAAUUUGCUAUAAUAUUUUUGAAGUGAGAUCUUCAAAACAUGAUAUUUUCUUCAUCCUUUUACUUGUUAGUCAUGUUACAUCACGACACCCACCCCUCUGAACUUGUGCAUCCUCUGGUAUGCACCAAGUUCGUUCAUUAUAUUGAUAUGGAAUGUUCUUCAUCUUGGUCAAAUGCUUGAUCUUCAUUUUGCUCUUUUUCUUCCAUCUCAAUAUCUCCUAUUAGAUUUUGUUCUUCAUCAAAAUAAAUAUCUUUACCUCUUUGAUUAAAUAAUUUGAUUCGCUUGCCUGCUAUUGGUAUCUUUAAAUUUGUACCAUCCAGUUUUUGUAACAAGUAUGUUCCAUUCUUGUGCACUUGUUUGACAACAUAAGGUCCAAACCAUCUCCUUGCAAAUUUCUUUGCCAUACUAUGUUGGUUGUCCAAACUACUAUCAUAAAUCAAUAUCCAAUCAUCAUUUUGAAUUGAUUUUGGACAUAAUCGAUGCUUUUGGUCAAACUUCUCCUUGUUUUUUUUUCUCGCUUCUUUCAACUUUCUCCCUGCUACUUCAAUUUCCUCGGGCUUUCUUUCAAGUUGUCGAAUUCAUAAUGCCAAUAACUCUUCUCUUGUUAAACCAUCUUCUUAAGGUAAUAUAGUCCAUGUUGAUACAACUUCCUCUAUCGACAUUACCGAUUUUUGACCAUACAUCAAUUCUGCUAGCAUGUAUCCUGUAACCAUACUAUGAGUUGUGCAAUCCAUCCAUAAUGCAAAUGGUAAUAAUUUAGGCCAAUCAUUUAUCUUACCUUUACAUGCUUUAACCAAUGCUUUAAUAAUUGGAGAAUGUCCAUGUUCACUCUUGCCAUUCACUUCCAAAUUAUAUGCUGUUGUCAAUGCAAGUUUAAUAUUCAACCUUUCAAAGAAAUUUUAUACUUCAUUUGCAUCCAAUUCUCCUCUAUCUGUAGUGAUUUUUCCAAUACAUCCAUACCGGCAAAUAAUUUCCUCUAAUAUAAACCGACAUACUCCUUUCGUAGUCUUUGUUGAAAGUACUCUUACAUCUACUUGAUUUGUGAAAUCUUCCUGAGCAAGUAUCAAAUAUUUUCUCUGACCAAAUUCUAUUGGCAUUACAAUUAAAUCAACCACCCAUUUAUAAUGAAUUACUAAUGGAUAUAUAGGAUGCAAACCAUCUCGAUGACGAAUAUUUGAAUAUAUUUGGCAAGUUUCAUAAGAUCCUACAAAAUCCGCCACAUCCCUAUAUAUACCCUUCUACCAAUAUUUUUCUUUCAACUUAAUAAAUGUUGCCCAAAUACCUCGAUGCCUUGCCCAUAAACUUUCAUAAAAUUCCUUAAUAAUCUUUUGUUGAGCUUCUAAACCACAUAUCACUUAUUGUGGUACUUCUCCUCUCUUCUUUGGAUGCUUCCAUAAAUAUCCAUCGUGUAAAAAAUAUCCAUAGGCUUUCUUUCAGAUUUUCUUAAAUUCUUGAUCUGUCCAACCAUCUUAUCGCUUUAAUGUACUUAAAUAUUCCCCAAUAUCUUUUCAUUCUUCUUCAUAUAGAUCUCUUGAAAAUAUUUCUAAUAGUAUAUUCAAACAUAUACUUUCUUCCUUUGAUAAUAUAUUAGUAUAAAAAUUUGUACCCACAUCAUUUUCUAAAUCUAUUAUAUCUUCUUCAUUGUAAUACCUUGCUCUUAAUAACAUAUCUACGACUAAAUUUUCUUUUCCUAUAAUAUGUUCAAAUUUCGGAUUUAUAGAUUUGAUAUAUGCCAUCUACCUUAACAUAGCAAUAUCGGGAGUUGAACAACUUAUAAUCAUAUCCAAUAAAGGUAGACAAUCUGUUUCUACAACUACUGAUGUACCAAUCAAAUACUCCCUUUCAUUUUUCAUAGCUAUUACUACACUCCAUAAUUCUCUUUUGAUUUGUGCAUAUAUCCUUUAUCUAGCAUUCAAAAUCUUUGCUCCAAACCUUACUACAUAUCUAUUUCCUUGUUCAUCAUCUUGUCCAACUGUUCAACCUAUUCCAAUUGGACUUGCAUCAACUGUUAAUAUUAUUGGCCUUUCAGAUUCAUAAUUUACUUUCUUUAAAGUUGGAGGUGAAGAAAGAAGUUCUUUUAACUUUGCCAUAGUUUUUUUUUGUUCUUCUUUCCAUUGAAAUUUUUGAUUCUUUCAUAACAACUCAUAUAAUGGAUCUGCUAUAUAUGCAAAAUGAGGUAUUCAUAUAUGAUAGAAAAUACAUACUACUAAAAACCUCCUGACUUCUGUCUUAUUUAUACUCUUUCAAUUUUUUUAUAACUUCAACUUUUUUCCUACUUGAUUUGCGUCCAUAUGAACCACACAUGUGUCCUACUAUCAAAACUUCUUUUAUUCCAAAUAUUGAUUUUGUCCUCGAUAAGGUUAAAUGAACUUCUUCUAGCCUUGUUAAAAUCUUCUCACAAUCAUGAAUAUGAUUUGCCACAAACUUCCUACAUCCCUUUGAAUCCAAUGUCUCAUCCUUUCUUUCUUCUUCACAUCCCCUAAUUGGCACAUCAUCUAGAAAAGGUAUUGUUAUUCUUGAAAUAAAAUCUCUUAGUACCUUAUGCAUUCCAUUCAUCAUGUGUGCUACAAAAUUUGUAGCCCCUUGUGGUAAUGUACACAUUCUGACCAAUCCCAGUGGUGUCUUCAUAGUUGUCAAAUCUCUACUUUGUAUUAUCAAUUGAAAUUGAUUGUAUCCUAAGUAAAGAUCUUCCAUAGAAUAAAUUGAUCUUUCUGCAAAUGCCUCUGCAAACUCAUCCACAAUUGGACUCAAGCCCAUGUUUCUAAUAGUUAUUUUGUUUAUCGGUUGCAUAUCUUGAAUAAACCUCAAUGUUCCAUUUUUCUUAGGUACUGUGAACCACCGAUUGGAAUAUGGUGCAAUAGAUGGUUCUAAAAUUCCCAUCUUAAUUUUUUCAUUGAGUAAUUCAACUAGCUUUGGCAAAUGGGCCUUUGGAACUAGAAUUGGCCUCAAAUUCCAUGGUUCAUGCGGAAUUGUAAAAAUAACCAUAGGUGCUACAAUACUCGGAUCAAUGCACCAUAUUUCAUGUGAUUCAAAUGCAAAUGCUUUACCAUGUCAUGAAAGCAUUUCUUUAAAACAUCUCUUCUCGUUUCUUGUCAAAAAUUUAUCACAUCCAAUUUUCAAACCAUCUAACAUCAAAUUAUCCUUGAAUUCAUGACCUAUUUUCCUUGGAUCUCUUAACUUAGGUUGCAUAGAAGCUUUUUUAAUCCUUUCUUCAAAAUUCGAUUGUAGUGGCAAUGCCAUUAGUUUAACCUUCCUUGUAAUAGUCUUAUUUUUUGUGUUCACCUUCACUUCAUACCUAUCCAUAUAUUCUUUUAUUCAUAAAACUUCUUAGAAUUGACAUUUAUUACUUUAUCACCUCUUUCAAAAUCUCCAUUCAAUAAUAUUUGUAAAUCAUUCAUAGUAUCACCAAAACAAGAUUCUUCAAACAUCCCUGAUAUGUAUUCAUCUUCAUCAAUCAUUCCACAUUUCUUUAAUCCCUAUUCUAUAUUUUUAACAUUUUUCUUAUCUAUUCUACUAAAAUUAUUUAUGUUUCUGAAUAAAAUAUAUCCGUCUCGCGAUAAUCCUACAAUAUCUUCAUCCUUUCUAUUAGGUGGGAAGCCUUCACUCUUUUUACCAUUGCAAUCCCGCUUUACAAUGGCGUUUAGUAAAAAUCCUUUGAGUCUUCAAGAUCUUCAAAUUCUUUAUGUAUCUUUGGCAAAGGAUGUUCCUUCAAACUAUCCCUAUUUCUUCCAUGAUUUGCACAAACUAUUAAAAAUUACAUUGCCCUCUUUCCGUCUUGACUUCUUAUCCUUGCAUAAGCUGAUCCAUCAUCCAUAAUCUUUGUCUCCAUUCAUAUGGCAGUAAUAUAUGGUUGUCCUAAUAUAAUAGGAUGUGUAGACAUAUCUUGCACAAAGAAUUUUUUUUCAUAAAUAACAUCUCCUAUUGUCACCUUGAUAUUUGGACAAGCUCCAUACAAAUCCCCUUUUGAAUUAUUUGCUACUCUUAUCAUCCACCUAUGCUUAAUAUCAAUAGGCCAAUUUCUCCUUUUAUAUAAUUUUGUUGAUAUUAAAUUUAUUUCAGAACCAUGAUCAAUGAAUGUUAUAAUUGGUUCUUCUAAAUCUCACAAUUUUACUAAAAUUUCCGUGGUAGCCUUUGGCCAAUGACUUCGAGAAUAAUUACUAGAAGCUUGAAUCAUAUCUUCUUUUCCUAUAAAUUUGACUCGUGAAAUAUCUCCAACAAUUUGCAUUUCAAUUUCUUCAUCUUCAUUGCUUCCUAUUGCCUUUGUACCUUGUACAUUUGAUGUCAUAGUAUCACCAAUAGAUUGUCAUUUUCUUUUUAUCGUAUCAAUAAUAACUUCAUAAAAUUCUCAUUUUGCAAUUCUUAGAAUUUCAUCAAUUGUAAAUUCAAUCGUUCCACUUAAAAUCCGCUCCUCCAAUACUUUCUUCAAAUCUGUAGCAGCUUCAAUAUCUGAUUGUAAUUUAUAAGCAGGAACCUUUGUUUUUUUUUUUUUCACAAUCUCUCUCUCUUUUGUAGAAAUAUUCUCUAUUGUCUCUUCAUGCAUAGGAUUCUUCUGUUGUCAAGUUUUAUCUCCCCUUGUGAUUCUUUUUGAUGGCCCUUCAUGAUUUUCAUCUCUCCUUUAUUUUUCUUCUAUUAAUGCUUCAUGUUGACUCCUUGCAAUAUGAGCAUGAAUUGAUAAUCUAUCUAUUGGAUCAUCCCACCUAGUAAUUUGUCGAAUGUUAUUGCCAACAUGUUUUAGAUCAUCUCGAGUAAAAUUUCCCUUUUCACCAUAAUUCAUUGUACUUAAUCAUAAAGAAUUAGAUUCUUUUGGAUACUCAAGAUUUAUACUUAAGCAUUUGCUUGGAUUUGCCCCCACCCAAAAUAUUGAUGCUUCAUUGCUUGAAGUUAUAUGCACCUUGAAAACAUCUCCUACAAACACCUUCAUUCCCCUUUUACCAAAAUUUGUCUCUAAUUUUUCUCUACUCUCUUUUAAGUGUAUCAUACUAUCUUUAAAAAAAAUAACUCCUUUGCGUAGCGCCUUUGAAAAAUCUUUACACUCCCUUCUUGAAUGAUCUAUGCUAUCACACCACAUGCACCUAUGUACUAUAUGUUCUAUUGGUCUUAAAUUUUGUCUUGUUGAUAUUCUUGAUGAUUGACCCAUCUCUUCAAUUUUUACAAAUUUUAUUUGUAAAUCUCUCAUCCCUUGUAUGAUUUCAUCAAUGCCCAUUUCUUCUCUCUUUGAUGUAGCCAUUGAAGGUUGAAUCGUAGAUGUAUGAUAGAUAGCAGGAAUUUUUCUUCUAGAUACUUGCAAUGGUCUUUGAAUUUCCAUCCUAUCUUUUCUCCUUUUUUUUUUGUAAGCACCCCAAUCGCCUCUUCUACUUUUUCCUAAUUUCUUCUCAAUCCUUCAACUUCUUCUUUAUCUUUCAACAAAAUUUCCAACUUCUCUUACAAUUCUCCAUUAACCGCUUGAAGAAAAAGCUCCACUUUACUUGGAUCUAAUAAUUGUCUCUCCUUCUUUGAUAAAUAAGAAUAUUACUUUUCAAACUUCCUUAGUAACUCUGUUGCUAGUAGAUCCUUCUUAGGCCUUUCAAUCCAUUCAAAAAAAGACUUCUUUGUAACUCGGUCACUAUCUUCUAAAAAAUACUCAUCUUUUAAUGCUUGAGAUAAUUUUUCCCAUGAACCUCCAGAAUGUCCUAUAAUAGACUUCACAUGAUUUCUUAUUUCUGGUAUAGUAGCCAAUUCAAAUAGCUGAACCAUCUCCUUCUCUAAAACACGCUUCAAUUCCAUUUCCUUUAUGUAACACCUUAAAUAUUUUGUAAUAUCCUUCCCUUCAAAUUGAUCAAUUUUGUCUACAACAGCUUGUAAUGCUUUGUGUGCCAUGCCCUCUUUGCAAUCCUUAACCUGUUGUUGUUGCAUGAAUAAGGCCAAUGCCUCAAACAUGCUUGCAGAGUUGGGAUCAAAAUACAUACCUUGUCUUUCAAUUGAAGCUCUACUUCCAACUCUACUUGAAGCACCACCAAAAGCUCUUCCUUCCAUUCUCUUGCCUUCCUUCUCCAUAACCCAAAUAGAUCAAAGAAACUCUAAAUACCUCCCACCUCAAGUUUUUCAUGUCAGGUUUACCAAAUAUGUCAUAUUACGUGAAGUCUUAUUUGAGAAUGCACCGAGCACCUGGUUGUGGAAGAUAAAAGAAAAUUGCAAUAAAAGGUCCUAACAAUCCAAUAGGAUUAUAGAGAAUUUACAAUUAAAUGUUAAUAAUCAUAAUGAAAUAUUAAGUAAGCCCAAUUAAAUUUUAUUGAAGUUAUAAAAAAACACAAGGAAAUCCUAAAGAAAUAUAAAAGAAUAUUAAAGAAAACUUUUUUCAAAUCCUAAUAAAAAUCUAAUAAAACCUUAAAUUCUAACCAACUCCUAAUCCUAAUCCAACCUUAAUCAAAUCCUAAACAAACCCUAAAUCCUAAACCAAAUCCUAAUCAAAUCUUAAUCAAAUCCUAACUCUUUAACCAAUUCCUAAUCAAAUCCUAAAUCAAACCUUAAAUCCUAAUUCAAACCCUAAUCCAAACCCUAAAUUCUAAAUCAAAUCCUAAACCAAAUCCUAAACCCUAAUCCAAAUCCUAAAUCCUAAAUCAAAUCCUAAACCAAAUCUUAAAUCCUAAACCCUAAAUCCAAUCCUAAAUCAUACCCUAACCCUAACAAAUCCUAAACCCUAAACCAAAUCCUAACCAAAUCCUAACCCUA